rnacentral:rRNA from 1 species
AUACGUAGGUGGCAAGCGUUAUCCGGAAUUAUUGGGCGUAAAGAGUGAGCAGGCGGUUAAUUAAGUCCGAGGUUAACGCGGGGGGCUCAACCCCAUAACGCCUUGGAAACUGAUUGACUAGAGUACGGGAGAAGUGAAGGGAACUCCAUGUGUAGCGGUGAAAUGCGUAGAUAUAUGGAAGAACACCAGUGGCGAAGGCGCUUCACUAGCCCGAAACUGACGCUCAGUCACGAAAGCGUGGGUAGCAAAUAGGAUUAGAUACCCUAGUAGUCCACGCUGUAAACGAUGACAACUAAAUAUUGCCGCGAAGCAGUGUUGAAGCUAACGCAUUAAGUUGUCCGCCUGGGGAGUACGGUCGCAAGACUGAAACUCAAAGGAAUUGACGGGG